rnacentral:rRNA from 1 species
UGCACCUACGGGGGGCAGCAGUGGGGAAUAUUGCGCAAUGGGCGAAAGCCUGACGCAGCGACGCCGCGUGAGGGAUGAAGGUCUUCGGAUCGUAAACCUCUGUCAGCAGGGAAGAACGGUCACUGUGCUAAUCAGCAGUGAAUUGACGGUACCUGCAAAGGAAGCUCCGGCUAACUACGUGCCAGCAGCCGCGGUAAUACGUAGGGAGCGAGCGUUGUCCGGAAUUACUGGGUGUAAAGGGAGCGUAGGCGGGACUGCAAGUUGGGUGUCAAAUCUACCGGCUCAACCGGUAGCCG